UGGGGAAUUUUGGACAAUGGGCGCAAGCCUGAUCCAGCCAUGCCGCGUGCGGGAAGAAGGCCUUCGGGUUGUAAACCGCUUUUGUCAGGGAAGAAAUCUUCUGAGUUAAUACCUCGGGAGGAUGACGGUACCUGAAGAAUAAGCACCGGCUAACUACGUGCCAGCAGCCGCGGUAAUACGUAGGGUGCAAGCGUUAAUCGGAAUUACUGGGCGUAAAGCGUGCGCAGGCGGUUUUGUAAGACAGAGGUGAAAUCCCCGGGCUCAACCUGGGAACUGCCUUUGUGACUGCAAGGCUUGAGUGCGGCAGAGGGGGAUGGAAUUCCGCGUGUAGCAGUGAAAUGCGUAGAUAUGCGGAGGAACACCGAUGGCGAAGGCAAUCCCCUGGGCCUGCACUGACGCUCAUGCACGAAAGCGUGGGAAGCAAACAGGAUUAGAUACCCUGGUAGUCCACGCCCUAAACGAUGUCAACUGGUUGUUGGGAAGGUUCCUUCUCAGUAACGUAGCUAACGCGUGAAGUUGACCGCCUGGGGAGUACGGCCGCAAGGUUGAAACUUAAAUGAAUUGACGGGGUCAUAGCUG
rnacentral:rRNA from 1 species